rnacentral:lncRNA from 10 species
CGGGCACGCCCACCCGGGUCCGCCGGAGCUGGGGGGCUGGCGCUUGGGCCCCCUCCCGGCCUCCGCCCCUGAGCACUGCGCAGGCUGUGGGCGGCGCCCGCCGGGGCAGGGGGCGUCCCGGGUCACCCGGCGGCCCGGAUCGGCCCGUGACGCCCUCACCCCACCCCUCGGCGGGCCGCAAACGUCCAGAGAGCGCCCCCUCCCCAAGCCCCGACCUGAGCGGGGCGCUAGAAGCCGGGAGGACAAAUCAGACGAAACAGUGUUGACAUGAGGCAGAUCAGAUGGCCGGCCUUCCUGGUGACCAGAUUUCAGGACAGCAAGCAUCCCGGCCAGACCCCAGGGUGGAAAGUCCUCGAAAGCAAGGAUCCUGGCUCUCGGCUCUGUGUCAGCUCUGUGUAUACAGCACAGGGCUUGGCACACCGUAGGUGCUUGGUGAACAUCUGGGGAAUGAAAGAUACCUUGCAGAUUCAUAUAAAUGCCUCACCUGUGCCUCAUAGUUGAGCACCACAUCUGUCCACCACACCUGUGUGCCCCAUCUCUGCAUCACUCCUGGGCAUCACACCUGAGUACCACAUAUGUGCACCACACCUGUGUGCCGAGCUCAGGUUGGCAAGUGGAGUGAGAGUAGUCUGUGGGAGCUGGAAGAGACUCGGACUCCAGCCAGGCCUGAGGACCCCACCCUCUGCUCCCAGCCCAGGGCUGGUCGGGUUGGGGGAGCUUGCCCCUCGGCUGUGUCUCUCUCAGGAGGUUCUGGGCUCCUUUGGACUCUGGAAGUGCCAGCUCCACCUUGGGGGCUGAUACGGUUGGAGUGUUUGUCUCCUCCAAAUCUCCUGUUGAAAAGUGAUUCCUAGCGCGGGAGCUGGGGGCUGGCGGGAGGGAUUGGCUCAUGGGGGCGGAUCCCUCAUGAAUGGUUUAGCGCGGGAGCUGGGGGCUGGCGGGAGGGGAUUGGCUCAUGGGGGCGGAUCCCUCAUGAAUGGUUUAGCGCCACCUCCUUGGUGACGAGUGAGCUCUUGUUUCAUUGAUUCACAGGAGAUCUGGUUGGUUAAAAGUCUGGGAUGCCCUCUCCUUGGCUUCUUGCUUCCACUCUUGCCAGGUGAGAUGCCUGCUCCCUCUUUGCCUCUCACCAUGAUUGGAAGCUUCCUGAGGCCUCCCCAGAAGCAGCUGCCAGCACCAGGC